UUUAAUUUUUUAGAGAGAGAUAUAUUUUUUAAGGGACAAUUACCUAUAUACCCUUCAAAAAUUUUAAAAUAUCUUAUAUACUGCUACUUUUUUGUUUCAAAUAUACCUCUCGUACAUAUUUCUUCGUUAUUAAAAAAUAACUCUACUAUUAGUAUCCGUUAAGUUAUUUCAGAUUAAAUUCAGAUUAAAUUUCUACCAGAGUUACGAACAAAAAAGUUAAAAUACCUCUUUUCUCCGUAACUUAAGUGUAAAUAAAAAAAAAGUUAGGAAGAUGUAUAUUUAAAAUGGCAAAAUAGUAAUUUUACAGAGAUAACGACUAGCACUAAUAAGUUACUAGCAGAAUCUAACUCUAAAUAUAUAUAUUUGAAAAAAUUUGAAACGUUAGAAAGUGUAUUUUUUUAAUAUUAAUUUUUUAAGUUGGAUAAAUGAGAAAGUUUAAAAUUUUUCAGAGAAAUAUAUACGCAAUUGUCCCUAUUUUUUAAAUAUAGAACAAGAUAAGCUCCAUCAUUUUCACUCAUGCACAUAUACAGGAUGUAUGAAGUAAUGUGUUCCUCAUUUUCCACAUCAUUGAUAGAGACAUAUAUUUAUAAGCUUCUGGGCUAAUCCGGAGGAAUCUUCAAAAGUGAA
rnacentral:lncRNA from 1 species